AUUGUUUGAUCCUGGCUCAGAAUAAACGUUGGCGGUGCGCCUUAUGCAUGCAAGUCAAACGGGGUUAUGAUUUUCGGAUUGUAACCUAGUGGCAGACGGCUGAGUAAUACGUAAGUAACCCGCCCUGGAGUGGGAAAUAACCUGCCGAAAGGCGAGCUAAUGUCCCAUGUGGUAACGAAGCGUAGGCUUCGUUAUUAAAGCUUUCGGGCGCUCCAGGAGGGGCUUGCGUCUGAUUAGCUAGUUGGUAGGGUAACGGCUUACCAAGGCGAUGAUCAGUAGCUGGUCUGAGAGGAUGGCCAGCCAGAUGGGGACUGAGACACGGCCCCAACUCCUACGGGAGGCAGCAGCAAGGAAUUUUGGGCAAUGAGCGAAAGCUUGACCCAGCGACACCGCGUGAGGGAAUAAGGCCUUCGGGUUGUAAACCUCUUUUCCUGGGGAAGAAUCUCGACGGUACCCAGGGAAUAAGCCUCGGCCAACUACGUGCCAGCAGCCGCGGUAAUACGUAGGAGGCGAACGUUAUUCGGAUUUACUGGGCGUAAAGGGAGCGUAGGCGGUUCCUCAAGUCGAAUGUGAAAUCUUCUGGCUCAACCGGAAGGCGUCAUUUGAUACUGGGGGACUUGAGAGCAGCAGAGGGAAAUGGAAUCUCCAGUGUAGCGGUGAAAUGCGUAGAUAUUGGAGAGAACACCAGUGGCGAAGGCGAUUUUCCAGGCUGCUUCUGACGCUGAGGCUCGAAAGCGUGGGGAGCGAAGCGGAUUAGAUACCCGCGUAGUCCACGCCCUAAACGGUGGACACUAGAUAUGGGAGGUAUCGACCCUUUCUGUGUCGAAGCUAACGCUUUAAGUGUCCCGCCUGGGGAGUACGGCCGCAAGGCUGAAACUCAAAGGAAUUGACGGGGGUCCGCACAAGCAGCGGAGCGUGUGGUUUAAUUCGAUGCUACACGAAAAACUUACCAGGGCUUGACAUGUCAGAAGUAGGAUUCCGAAAGGAGGACGACCUGUAUCCAGUCAGGAGCUGUCACAGGUGCUGCAUGGCUGUCGUCAGCUCGUGCCGUGAGGUGUUGGGUUAAGUCCCGCAACGAGCGCACCCUUGUCCUAUGUUAAUUUCUCAUAGGAACUGCCUGUACAGCAGGAGAAGAAAGAAG
rnacentral:rRNA from 1 species